UGUGAACUUAUACCUAUACUGUUGCCUCGGCGCUGGCCGGCCUCCUCACCGAGGCCCCCUGGAGACAGGGAGCAGCCCGCCGGCGGCCAACCAAACUCUUGUUUCUUAGUGAAUCUCUGAGUAAAAAACAUAAUGAAUCAAAACUUUCAACAACGGAUCUCUUGGUUCUGGCAUCGAUGAAGAACGCAGCGAAAUGCGAUAAGUAAUGUGAAUUGCAGAAUUCAGUGAAUCAUCGAAUCUUUGAACGCACAUUGCGCCCUCUGGUAUUCCGGAGGGCAUGCCUGUUCGAGCGUCAUUUCAACCCUCAAGCCUAGCUUGGUGUUGGGGCACCGCCUUCGCAAGAGGGCGGGCCCUGAAAUCUAGUGGCGAGCUCGCCAGGACCCCGAGCGUAGUAGUUAUAUCUCGUUCUGGAAGGCCCUGGCGGUGCCCUGCCGUUAAACCCCCAACUUCUGAAAUUUUGACCUCGGAUCAGGUAGGAAUACCCGCUGAACUUAAGCAUAUCAAUAAGC
rnacentral:rRNA from 1 species